ACGCAAGUGUGAAACUUGAAGGAAUUGACGGAAGGGCACCACAAGAACGCGUGGAGCAUGUGGCUUAAUUUGACUCAACGCGGGAAAUCUUACCGGGUCCGGACACACUGAGGAUUGACAAGCAAUAUUAGCAAUUCUAUGUCUUUCGGGAUAUUAGUAGUUGUUAUGUUAAAUAUGCUAGUCCUUUCAUGAUUAUGUGAUAG
rnacentral:rRNA from 1 species